rnacentral:tRNA from 2 species
GUCCUUUUAGUAUUAACUAGUACAACUGACUUCCAAUCAGUUAGGUUCGGAAUAACCCCGAAAAAGGAUA